rnacentral:rRNA from 1 species
CGCUAGCGGCUCGCCUCUACAUGCACGUCUGACGGGAUCCAUCGGAGAGCUUGCUCGUACAUGGUGAGAGUGGCGCACGGGUGCGUAACGCGUGAGCAACCUACCUCUAUCCCGGGGAUAGCCUCUCGAAAGAGAGAUUAACACCGCAUAACAUCAACAGUUCCCAUGUUCGGUUGAUUAAAUAUUUAUAGGAUAGAGAUGGGCUCGCGUGACAUUAGCUAGUUGGUAGGGUAACGGCCUACCAUGGCUACCAUCUCUAGGGGCUCUGAGAGGAGAAUCCCUCACACUGGUACUGAGACAGGAUCAAACUCUCAACGGGAGGCAAUUUUGAACAAUGUUGGAAACCGGGCGGAAGCCUGACCCGCGUGGGAUGAAGGAGGACGACUGCCCUAUGAGUUGUAAACUGCUUUUGCGCAGGAAUAUACUACCCCCUGGAAUUUAGCUGACUGUACUGGAAGAACAGGGAUCGUAUAUGUCCGUGCCGGCGGCGCGUGUAUACGGAUGAUCCGAGUGUUAUCCACAUUUAUUGAGUCUAACGGCUGCG